ACAUGUCAGCCAAUAGGUUAGAGCGACUCAGGGGUUCUGAAAUGUUUAAUGUACUUCCGUGUUUGUUCAGUUCUUUCCACACUCAUUUGUGAGGCUGCAGAUGCACAGUGCAAUCAUCACGCGCCUGGAGACAAUGCAACUAUUGAGAAGCAUAGCUGGUCAAUUAUUUAUUGUCUUCUUUAUCCACACAUAAUCAUGCUUUUAUUGACCCUUCCCUUUGUCAAUACAUUGUUUGCCAUCCACAGAUUCCUUUCAUAAUGUCAAAAUCCAAGCCCUUCCUCAGUCUGUAUUGACGGCGAGCGCGUCAUCCAUCGGAGAGGAAGAGUCCGUUACACUUCAGUGUUCGGCAAAAGCAGGGAACCCUCCUAAAAAAUGUUGGAUUUACCUGAUUAGUCAAACUAACGGCCAAAAAAAAAACAUCGCCUUCAAAUGCCAGGAGACAUUUACAGGCUCUGUGCUACUGGCAGAGAACUGGGCUCUCGCUGAGGUGAAGGUUAAGUGUUUUUACGCCGUGGAUAGGCAGUCUAACACUCAGCCUGCUCCACACAGCGACAUCGUGUCUAUCACUGUAGCCCUUCCUCAGUCUGUAUUGACGGCGAACGCCUCAUCCAUCAGAGAGGGAGAGUCUGUUACACUUCAGUGUUCGGCAAAGGCAGGGCACACUCCUAAACAAUGUUAUAUUUACUGGCUUAAUCAAGCGAAAGACCAAAACAAAAUCGCCUUUGACUGCCAGGUGACAUUUACAGGCUCUGACCUCCUGGCACGUACCGGGGCUCUCGCUGAGGUGAAGGUUCAGUGUGUUUACACCAACGAUCGGGAUGAGCCUGCUCCACACAGCGACAUCGUGUCAAUCACUGUAAGAAGAGUUGUUACUGCCAGUCCUACGCCAGCCAGGCCUACGUCAGCCAGUUCUACGUCAGCCAGUCCUACGCCAGCCCGUCCUACGCCAGCCCGUCCUACGUCAGCCAGUCCUAUAUCAGCCAGUACUACCACUGCGGCCACAACCGUGGUGAAUCCCAACUCAGUUGUCCCAGGCAGUCCUACGUCAACCAGUCCUACCACUGCUGCCACAACCAUGGUGAAUUCCACCUCCAGUGUCCAAUAUACCCCUCCUGGGAGACUAUUUUUAAAGGCUGCAAUCAUACUAAUAGUAUGUUGUGGAGUGAUUGUGUUUCUGAUCGUUCUGCUGUUUGCUGUUUUGCAAACUUGGAGGAGGAGAAAGAAAAACACAAUGGAAAUGAAGAGUCUCAAUACUGGAUCGUCAAAAGUGGUUAAUCGCUCCGGCAGCUGCAUCAAAAAGGAUGGUGUCUACCACGUGUACAGCACUAUCUCCAAUGAGCCCAGCGCACCCAACCAGACGUUGGUGUAUGACCUUCUGCAGGCCAAUUGACUUCAUGUUCCUGCAGGUCCAUGCCAAUGGGAUAACAAACCCUGUUUUGUCUAGUUUGUUUUUUAGUGCCCUGCUUCAAAACAAUGUGAAUGCCACAUUAUAGAAAUGUAUGGCAAUGACUUUGCAACUAGGAAGAUCUAUGUCUGUGAGUAUAAACAAAGGCUUACAAACCAAAAACGAUGGUUGAAUGGUGAAAAAUAUGUCUUUGUGUUUAUUCAGUUAUUUUUUGUGUCAACAUGAUAAAUAUGGCUUCUUUAUUAUGGCCAAUGUAACAUUCUUACAAAUUGUAUUUAGUUGACAUGCAUAUUUAGCUUGAAUUAUAUGUCUUUACAUUUACAGAGAGGGAACGUGAAGAAAAAGAACAUUACUUUGUUUUAGCAGCAAUCUGUGGAAUAUUUUCAAGAAUUUAGCUAUUGAGUGUUGCCAUAUGUAUUUUGUAUUUUGAUAUAUUUACCAAAGGUAUCAUGGGGAAUCUGCCUGCAUUCAUACAUCAAAUACUUUUAAUCACAAUAAACCAGAGAAGCAUG